rnacentral:pre_miRNA from 1 species
ACGUGAUCGUUCCAUUCGCUCGUGAGUAUCAGAUUGGCGAGCGAAUGGGUGGAUCAUGCAC